CAAACCCAGACCCCAGGCCCUGGAAACAGAGGAGGGGCAGGUAAGCAACCAGAGGCAGGAAAGGAAAAAUGGGAAGGUUUUCUCAGAGUUAACUUUCUCUAACCUUGAAGCCGAAUCCAGGGGCAGGAGCAGGAGUCAACUCUGAGAAGACGUGAUAGAGCUUCAGCAACAUGGAGAGGAGAUAGCCGGUCUGGCUAGGAUGGAAGAAAUGUACAUGGAGAAGAAAGACAGAAGAACCAUCACUGAGCACUAAACUAAUCAGCCAUAAUGUGCAGAUUGACUGGCAAGCCUAUCACCACCUUGAUAACAGAUGACAUUAAAGAGAAAGUAUCAAUGUGAGGAUUAAAUGGGAUGAAAAAUAAAACAUCUGUCGGAGUGCCUGGAAUAUGGUACACAAAUAUCCAAGAUUGGAAAGAAGAAAGAAAAUGACGACAGAAUUUUGCAGUCUACAAGGCAAACACUGCCAUUCAUGUAGUUAUGGAGUUCCUACUAUGUGCAGACAAUGGGAAACUUUACGAAGUGGAUGGAGCAGCAUCAGCCAUGGCUCAGGAAUGCAGCCGCCUACUUUCCUGUUAUCAGCAGGCAUUCCUGUGGUUACACUAUUCCUGCUUAGCUUAUCAAUGGCCCUUGGGAACACAGAGUCAGCACCCAAAGAGGGCCAGAACAGCCUGCUUGUUGGACGCCCAUCCACACCAUGAGGCUUUCCUGGAUGUAGAGGGAAGUUACUGUUCCUCGGGAAAACCCCUCUUCCCAGCUGGGUUUUAAAAAGCAGCAGGUUUAAGAGCUGACCAUAUCUGAAAGACUCUAGAAUAGCAGAGGAUUGAUUAAAGGUCUGUGGCCACAGAUUGGAU
rnacentral:lncRNA from 1 species